AGCUACAGGCUUAACACAUGCAAGUCGAGGGGCAGCAUGGUCUUAGCUUGCUAAGGCCGAUGGCGACCGGCGCACGGGUGAGUAACACGUAUCCAACCUGCCGUCUACUCUUGGACAGCCUUCUGAAAGGAAGAUUAAUACAAGAUGGCAUCAUGAGUCCGCAUGUUCACAUGAUUAAAGGUAUUCCGGUAGACGAUGGGGAUGCGUUCCAUUAGAUAGUAGGCGGGGUAACGGCCCACCUAGUCUUCGAUGGAUAGGGGUUCUGAGAGGAAGGUCCCCCACAUUGGAACUGAGACACGGUCCAAACUCCUACGGGAGGCAGCAGUGAGGAAUAUUGGUCAAUGGGCGAGAGCCUGAACCAGCCAAGUAGUGUGAAGGAUGACUGCCCUAUGGGUUGUAAACUUCUUUUAUAAAGGAAUAAAGUCGGGUAUGGAUACCCGUUUGCAUGUACUUUAUGAAUAAGGAUCGGCUAACUCCGUGCCAGCAGCCGCGGUAAUACGGAGGAUCCGAGCGUUAUCCGGAUUUAUUGGGUUUAAAGGGAGCGUAGAUGGAUGUUUAAGUCAGUUGUGAAAGUUUGCGGCUCAACCGUAAAAUUGCAGUUGAUACUGGAUAUCUUGAGUGCAGUUGAGGCAGGCGGAAUUCGUGGUGUAGCGGUGAAAUGCUUAGAUAUCACGAAGAACUCCGAUUGCGAAGGCAGCCUGCUAAGCUGCAACUGACAUUGAGGCUCGAAAGUGUGGGUAUCAAACAGGAUUAGAUACCCUGGUAGUCCACACGGUAAACGAUGAAUACUCGCUGUUUGCGAUAUACUGCAAGCGGCCAAGCGAAAGCGUUAAGUAUUCCACCUGGGGAGUACGCCGGCAACGGUGAAACUCAAAGGAAUUGACGGGGGCCCGCACAAGCGGAGGAACAUGUGGUUUAAUUCGAUGAUACGCGAGGAACCUUACCCGGGCUUAAAUUGCAGAUGAAUUACGGUGAAAGCCGUAAGCCGCAAGGCAUCUGUGAAGGUGCUGCAUGGUUGUCGUCAGCUCGUGCCGUGAGGUGUCGGCUUAAGUGCCAUAACGAGCGCAACCCUUGUUGUCAGUUACUAACAGGUUCCGCUGAGGACUCUGACAAGACUGCCAUCGUAAGAUGUGAGGAAGGUGGGGAUGACGUCAAAUCAGCACGGCCCUUACGUCCGGGGCUACACACGUGUUACAAUGGGGGGUACAGAGGGCCGCUACCACGCGAGUGGAUGCCAAUCCCAAAAACCUCUCUCAGUUCGGACUGGAGUCUGCAACCCGACUCCACGAAGCUGGAUUCGCUAGUAAUCGCGCAUCAGCCACGGCGCGGUGAAUACGUUCCCGGGCCUUGUACACACCGCCCGUCAAGCCAUGGGAGCCGGGGGUACCUGAAGUGCGUAACCGCGAGGAGCGCCCUAGGGUAAAACUGGUGACUGG
rnacentral:rRNA from 1 species